rnacentral:lncRNA from 1 species
AUCAAUCAAGACAUUUCAUAACAAUAACGUGCAUGUCCUCCAGCAAUAAUAAACCAUAACCAGACAAUAGAAACACAUAUUAAUUAAUUUCACAUGUAAAUACUUCAUCCGUUAUCAACAUAAUGACUUUCAAAAUUUCCCAUAAGCUAAUAUAACUAAUUAACUAGAGGAAACAUUAAGGUUCAUUGUCUCAAACACAAUGUGGGUUUACAAAAUGAUAGAUAAAAUUCAUCACCAAUGAUUCAAUCACCACUACACAAAAUAUCCUGAACCGCCGGCUUCAUGGUUCCUCCUCCGCUUGCAUGUCUUUCCUGCAAAAUGUAAAGAAGUUGCCAUUACAUUCUUACAUUCAUAAAUACAAUGUACCAUAAAAACUGGGAUAAAGCAUAGCAUUGACUACAGCUAUUACUUCACAAGGCAAGCUAGUACCAAAACACCUACUCAAGAAGGCACUCCAUUCAAGUAUAGGUAACCACUAGAAGUAGACACAAGCCUUGCCACACCGCUUUUCAUUGUGGACCCGCUUUUAUCUCUCUUAUUCCUCACGUUGGAUUACUCAAUGCACAUACAAAUGACUAAAAAAUAAAAUCAUAUUCCCAGAUACUAUGCUACUCCAGUAUCCAGGUGGCAUGUAAGCCACUAUGUAACUGGCAAAGACAAUUGAGAAUUCAGACGAGAGAUAUUGCCACAUUGGCAUGAGAGGAAUUAAUCAUUCAAUGCAACUAAAUUUCAGAAAAAGAAGUUAUUAAGCAGAGACAACGGAGCUUGCAUAUUACAUUAUUACAUAGAUCAAUCUUCCUUGCAACUUGAUUGGAUUUUCAUUGACCUUGUAUGCAUAUGUAAGAGAGAAUCUGCAUAAACAAAGAUUAGAGAUUCGGGGGAUUAAUGAAAAGAGAGUAGUAGGACAGAGAGAAAGUGGACAAAUCAGUAGGAAGUAGGACUAGUAGCACACCUAGUCCUAAAAAAUAGGGACCGGCCUCACUGAGGCAUGGAGCUGCUCGUGGUAACAGAGCAGCGGAGUUACCUAGGUGAAUAACGUACGUGGCGAAAAAUAUUCCACGGCUAGCACAAAACCUGUGAAGUAUGAAGACAACACAAUUACAUCUACAUGAGGAGCAGGCUGCGAGGUUGGCGGUAUUUACCACGGUGACUUUCUAUAGGUCAGGCCUCUAAUAGUGGCCCACCGAAAAGUUACAAGCUCUGUGCACAAUAAAAAAAACAGGGACAAGGAACCAUUUACGAAGUGCUGCAUGUAUUUCCUAUGUAACAAAGAAAUAAUAGGAAACUGGAGAUGUGUUUAUUGGACUAGCACAUAGUUCCAUAUGCUAGUCAGUAGUAAGUGAGGGCAUUCUACAUUGUUUGCUGUAUCACUGCACUAGGACAUCAAAACAAACGACAAAGUUAAAGGUUAUGUUUCACUUUGUCAUUCAACUUGAUGGCAACAACUUGUACAACUAAAAAAUAUCAGGUCAUUAACAGCAGAUGCUUUACUUAACUAUAGCUUGUUAAAAAUAAAGCUAAAAGUCUGCACAACCAUGCAUACUUUUGUAUGCUAAAAACCCUUAGAAGAAUAAUAUAGAAUAUUGAAUCCCUGAUUCUCAACUGAACAUUUACUAAAUGCAUUGUAAGAAUCUGGCAAGCCCUUGUAGUACUUCUCCGUAUGCCUACAUGCAAGUGUACAUAUGCAGCGCGUUGCAUCAGAUUUCAGCAAGUACUAACAUCUAAUCUAAGAUGUUUAACAUAUGGGGUGUUGUACCUAGGUGUAUCCAUCCAAUCUUUGUCCAUGCUAGUUGCACCUGCACACAUGAUUAAUAGUGAAUUUAAAUGCCUCACACACUGUCCACACACAAAAAAACUAGAAAAUUCAAAAUGUGAAUAGAACUCUGAAACUGAAACUAAAAUCAAAAUCAAACCCUUUCUAUGCCUCGCAUGUGGAUCAUAGGAAACAAAAUAGGUGUUCCAGGAAUUGAACUUCAUAGGAAACAAUUAAGUCUAGAAAGAAUUCAUUAUAUCAUUAUCAAAUAGUGUCUAACAGUAUAAGAAAAAACCUUUUGGAAAUCCACAUGUCGUUCGGAUCCCGCUGGUUAGUAGGUUUGGCCCCCUUCUUUUGCCAGGCACUGCUUUAAAUGUUCACCAACAAUGUUAUACAUGUGGUGUCAUACAUUGUCCACACACAAAAUAACAGGAAAAGGCCAAUUCUAAAAUAUACAAGUUCAAGAUAAGUUGCUGCUUAUCAAGGAAUAGCAAGAGAUUAUGCAAGUCAGGUACAAUAUUGUUAUCAUGACAACUAGGAACUAAAGGUGCCACGCUAAAUUGGUAUCUUAAUUUAUGGGCGGAGGCAAGAGCUGAAACUGAACCAGAAUCUCAAGUUUUGGUUUGCCUUAUAAUGUAUUACUGCUACACAGAUAAUUAUUGUUCUUGUGCAUGAUCUCAACUUGUCACAGGACAUCAUUAGCAUUUUCAUAUAUUCUCUCGGAUCCCACUUUUCAAAGCCAGAACAACACUCAAGAGUCUAAACUAUGGUGACAACCCAAGGUUCAGAGCAAUAAAUAUAUCAUUAAAAUCAGUCUAAAUGUGCCAUUUUCCACAAAGUAUCAUCAUAGUUAAGAUUUAUAGCUAAGUUCUAUGUUCCAAAUUUAAGCAGUAUGCUAGUUACUUAUGAUGAUAAUACACUAAGCAAAUUUCUUUUGAUAACGAAGGCCAACCAAAUUGACCACUAUGCAGAAGGUGUGCUCAUGCAUAACAACUACACUGUUUUCUUCUCAAAGCACAUAGUACGUGUAAAUUAGCUUUCAAAAUCCACACAUAACAUAAGCAGGAACAUGUGGAGGGGAAAAACAAUUCUUCCGAAGAGAAAUCGUUGUAUUGCUGGGAAAUAGAUAACACAUGAGGUGGAUAAAGACCUUGCAUUAGAAGGACUAAAACCAACCCACUGUCCUAGUUGGAUCUGGAAGAGGCAUCUUGGAGCAUACCUUCUUGGCCGGCAGCACCUCCAGGAGAUGGUGAGCUUGGGCGCGGACGAAAAGGGAAGCUCCCGGCAGGGUUUGGAGGGCGACGGCAAGACCACCUGUGCGUGCAGGGCAGCGUAGUGAGCGACGGUGAAGGGAAGGGCGCACGGACAGGAGGAGAGAGCACCUGCAGAUGGAGGGGGGGGAGGAGGACGGAGAAAGCACCUACCGGUGGAGGCGGCGGCAGUAUGGUGUACGGGGUACCACCGGCGGCAAUGUGGAGUGGGGUUAGCGGUGGACGGGAGAUAGAGAGGAUGCGACGGCCCCGCCGGCUGGAGAGCACGUGGCCGGCGUGGGGAGCAGCAUGUGCGGCGGAGGGAGAGCUCGAGCGGGGGCGGCGGCGGAUGCAGAAACUGUGUGCCAGAUCUGAG